rnacentral:tRNA from 1 species
GGGUGGUUCGCAUAGCGGCAAUUGCACGACGCUGUAAACGUCGCGACCUUACGGUCUACGGAGGUUCGAGUCCUCCACCACCCACCA